UAGGGCUGAUAUAUGGCCUGUGGUGGUGCGGACCGUAAACGCGGCCGAGUCUGCUGCAGCCUUCCUGCCGGUCGGCUGAAGGGCGCUUCUCACUCAUCGGUCAGGCUGCCAGGAGCGAACACAGCUCGGACCGGAGCUCGGUGGAGGCACCGGGGGAGGCUGGAAGCACGGAUUUGUGUCCGCUUGUACUCGCUCAGCAAUGUUUGAGGGAUAAAAUCACGCUUUUAAUGAGGAGACUGGAGAGUCAGCAUCACUCUGGACUGCUCAGACAUUUGACUUCCAUCUGACCUUUGUCAAAGUCACCGGGAUCACUAAAGAACUACAGACUCUUCACAACCUGCUCAAACUCUUGGUACAGGACCUCACCACACAGGUUGCUUUGUAGAACUGUUCCAGAAAACCUCACUAAAUCACAUGGAGGGGCCUCAAGAUAGUCAUCCAAAUGAAACUGUACAAAAACCAAACUAGCACAAUCCAAACACUAAAGUCUCCUGCAGCCUACCAGAGAACCUCUGAGAACAGAGAAUCAGGAC
ensembl:lncRNA